GGCACAACUUGAUGCCAUCACCUCUCAUCCUAUGCUGUUACCCGGGAGCAGAGGCCGAUCCCACCUCACCACAGCCUCCUUUCAUGCAGUGACAGAGAGCGAUGAGGUCUCCCCUGAGCCCCUCUUCUCCACACUGCCCCAUCCCAUCCCCUCAGCCGCCCCCAUCACGCUGUGCCCCACACCCCGCACAGCCCCAUGCUCGGGACAAUAACCCCAUAGAUCCUCACCCCAUUGACCAAAGGGCAUUGCCCCUACUUGCACCUCCCUCACACGGCUGCAGCCCAGCCUCCCUAGCCAAGGCGAUGCUGCUUUGCUUAUGGAAAACCCAUUUGCAGAGAUGCCUCCUCAGCAUGGGAACCAGGGGGGAAGAAUCAACCCCAAACGAUGCUGAGCACUCCGAAUGGCUCAGCGUUAGAUAUCUGUUAUCUCUGUCUACAAAAUGAAUCCCUGUUUGGAAACGUUUGCUUCAUCAGCGGUGCCCGGAGAUGUCCCGGAGGUCCAUUUUCACUUGGUGAAGCUCAGUACGAAGGCUUUUGUCCCUGCCCCGCCGCUGGUGUGGACAUCUGCCUCCCAGGAGGAGCCCAACCCCCGAACCGAGAGAAGGGCGGUGAUGCACCGGGAAGGCUCGAGGAGAAGGGGCGAACAGGCAGAUCCCACGCUUGGAGGACACCCGGAUCUCUCCGGGCGCGCUCCCCAUUCUUUCAGCGCAGCUGGCCCCCCAGCCCGGCUCACAUUUGGCGACAAGCCGCAGGGCCGGCUGCCGGAGGGUCGGCGCCAGCGUGGAACAGGAUCUGGGUAACCACAUCCGCACUCGGCGACAGGUCGGGGGCCGCGCUGCGUGCCAGAUGGCCCGGCCCGGCCCGGCUCCGAUGGCAGGGGGACCCCGGGCGCUGCCGGGAAGCGACAAAGGGACCUUCGGCCUCGCUGUUUCCGACAGCGCGAGCGAGGCGGACGGAGAGGUGACUUCUCAGAUGGAGACGGCCGUCGGGCCGUGGGCAGCCGGUGCCACGAGGCGGCAGCGCCAGCCCCCGAGAGAACUUCCCGG
ensembl:lncRNA